rnacentral:lncRNA from 1 species
CGACAUACUGAUUAUGUCCGCGUCCCCCGAUCAACUUCUAGAACACCUGAGCUGGACGGUAAAUCUUCUGGAGAGCUUAGGUUUUCUCAUAAAUUGGGAAAAGUCCAUGGUGACCCCAUCGCAGAAAAUAGAAUUUCUGGGUUUCGAAGUCGAUUCGGUCGCCCAGUUUCUGUUCCUUCCAGAGACCAAGCUAAAGGCUAUGAAGAAAGAAAUAAGACGUACUCUACGGACCACCAGUCUCUCCGUACGACAAUUGGCGAGGGUCAUUGGUCUUUUGGCCUCCUCCAUUCAGGCAAUAUUUCCGGGACCCCUACAUUAUCGGGCCCUACAACGUCUGAAAGGAUCCCACCUUCGCUCGGGCAGUUCGUACGAAAGCGAACUAUGCCUGGACAGAGACUCCAAGGAGGAACUUCGAUGGUGGUUGGAUCAUAUGGAGGCAUGGAAUGGUCGAGCAAUCUUCGGCACCGCCCUGGACAUGGUGAUAGAAUCGGAUGCCAGCCUGCAUGGCUGGGGCGCUCGCUGUGGAGAUAUCUCCACAGGUGGCAGAUGGUCCGAAAUCGAAUCAAAGCUACACAUCAACUGUCUGGAAUUGCUGGCGGGAUCGUUUGCUAUUCGCAGCCUGUCUCCAACCCUGGGAAACUGCUG